AUAAGCUUAGCGCCCCCUCGCGGCCCAAGUGCGCAUAUGCAUUUAACGUUGUUGUGCUGCAAUCUCUACAGGGGCGAUGAAAAAAUCUUUGGCGAAUGUUGUGGCAUCUGGCGCUGACACGACCAACUCUCUCUGUCUGUCCUCAACAGUUUAUUUAUUUCGCAAGAAUUCCGUGGAGGAAACAUUUUUUUCCAUGUUUGAAGUCUUGCUUGGUGAUGGAAUGAGUCAUUUUCUGAAGCAAUGAGAUGGAAGGAACCUUCAUAGCAUCCAACAAACAAGGAUUUCUAUGAGGCAUUGUGUUUUCCACAUUGCAGACCUCUGUAUCACCAACUUAAAUGAGCCUCCACCUGUCCACCAUGAUCUCCCCCAAACUUAAUCCACACCUCUUCUUCAGGAAUUGCCCCAUCGUGAGUUGUGAGAAAUCCAUUCCUGUGGAAAGAUGAUGGAACAUGAACAUAUGGUCUGUGACUCUGCUAUGGACCUAGUGAAUCACUGUUGACUGUCCAUGGUUCAAGUGAGGAUUGGCAAACCUGGUCAUUUCUUGAUUACCUACAGAAUGCAAUUGCAACAUAUGCAAAAUCUUAUGCAGGAAUGGGGCUAUAGCAGUGAUGGGACACUACCUUUGACUGUGAAGAUCAGACGAUGCAAUUCCCGUUGGUCAGCCCCCCCCCCCACCCCAAGGAGCCAUGCACUGCCAGAGAUCUUGAGCCAGGUCUUCAGUGGUUAUCCAUUGAUAAGAAGAACGGAGAUAAUAAAGACAGUGAGGUAUCUUGUUGAUUUCGACGUGACCAUCUUCCUAACGCUUCUUCCAAACAAUGAACUGGAGGCUCUUUCCACGAAUGAAUGUUUAGCUGCUUCAAGUGUGAUUCCAGCUUUUUCAAGAGCUUCUUGUUGUUCUACUUCUACUGGCCUUUAUUGUAGUUAACAUGUCCUGUGAAUGUUUUUAGGAGCCCAGUUUUGCUACAAACACAGUAAACCUCAAGUUCACAUACAGUUAAAAAACGGU
rnacentral:lncRNA from 1 species